AGUAUCCGCACCCCUGUGAGAACGCCCUUAAAUCCCCAAUAGGGAUAAGGAGCUGGUAUCAGGCUCUACUAAUGCCCAAGACACCUAGCUAUGCCACACCCUCAAGGGAAUUCAGCAGUGAUAAACAUUGACAAUAAGCGACAGCUUGACUCAGUUAAAGUAAAAAGAGCCGGCUAAUCUGGUGCCAGCCGCCGCGGUUAUACCAUGUGGCUCAAACUGAUUUCCAUCGGCGUAAAGCGUGAUUAAAGUUAUACCCCUAUUAGAGUUAAAUUAAAACUAAGCUGUGACACGCUUGUUAUUAAGAAAACCAAAAUCGAAAGAUACUCCAACUUAUUCGACUUGAAUUCACGACAGCUAAGUAACAAACUGGGAUUAGAUACCCCACUAUGCCUAGCCGUAAACUUUAACUUACAUUUACAUCGCCCGGGAACUACGAGCAAAGCUUAAAACCCAAAGGACUUGACGGUACCCCACAUCCACCUAGAGGAGCCUGUCCUAUAAUCGAUAAUCCCCGCUUAACCUCACCCCUUCUAGCCCAUCAGCCUGUAUACCU
rnacentral:rRNA from 1 species